rnacentral:lncRNA from 1 species
CACGCAUGUAAUUGCUCUCUCCUCUACAAGAUCGAAUCAACGAGCACAUAACAAAAGGGUAGGUUCACAGAAGCUUCGUCGGUGCACUGCAGGUGCUUGGACACCGAGAUGCUCGAGUGCCUAGAUGGAAAAUCAGCCAUCAAAAUAUGGAUUGCAGUUCACUAUUUUUGGGUGUUUGUCUUGUGGAUGGAAAAUUCAAAUAUACAGUGCAGUUCAUUGUUGUCAGCUGUUGUGAUUCAGUGUACUUCCUUUUUGCAGGAGGGAGACAAAAAGAAACAACCAAAGAGAAUAAGUGUACGACCCAAAUCGGAUGAGAUUACAAAAAUGUGGAUCAUGGUUUGCUAGUUGAUGAAUCAUAUAGUUCAUGGGUACCACGAAGUCCACUGUUUUCUCUCGUUUUUGACAAAAAAUGGUGGUUUACUUCUGUUUAAUAAAAACAUAAGGAGUACACUUUCUUUUUUUAUGUGGUUCACUUGUAUUAUGCACUGGUUCAAUUUCGUGACGUUCACUUUCAUAGGGAGAAAAGUGGUGUAGAGAAAGUUAGAAAAAGGACACAAAAAAUAAUGAUUUUGUUUACGGAAGCACUUUAUCUUGAAUUGUGUUGUGGCUCAUUUUCCUCAACCAUGCGGUCACUUCGUC